rnacentral:rRNA from 1 species
UACGGGGGGGGCAAGCGUUGUUCGGAAUUACUGGGCGUAAAGGGCUCGUAGGCGGCCAACUAAGUCGGACGUGAAAUCCCCAGGCUCAACCUGGGAACUGCGUCUGAUACUGGAUGGCUUGAAUCCGGGAGAGGGGAUGCAGAAUUCCAGGUGUAGCGGUGAAAUGCGUAGAUAUCUGGAGGAAUACCGGUGGCGAAGGCGGCAUCCUGGACCGGCAUUGACGCUGAGGAGCGAAAGCCAGGGGAGCAAACGGG